GCUGGCACCAUGAGGGUAUUAGCAGAAUUCACUGCCAAUGGCCUGGAACCAGGUGUCCUAAAUUACUGUGUGAGCUGCAGACUGUUGAUUGUGCAGUCAAUCAACAUUAGUAUUAGCACAGCUGUCUAAGAUUGAGGUUAAAGAGAGAGCAAUCAAACCCAUUGUGGACAGUGGGAGAAGGGGUUGCAUGGUGGGUUUCGUGCUAUAAGGAGUGCUGCAGAUUUGUUCAGCUGCUUGGAGUCUCCGAGGCAUCCCUUUCUUUUGAACAAGAGCAUCUGGAAUCUCCCAACUACAGCUGCUCAUGGACCGGCUUCCCACUCACAAAAGCUGAAAUCCAUUAUGAUUUGCAACAGCAUUUACCUUGCAGAGGAGGGCUUGUCCACGGUGCUGCGUUAUGCAAAUUCAGCUUAAUGUACUUUAAUGACACCAGGCAGAUCCCAAAGGCUUUUUAAGGCCGGAUAAAUUCUGAAUUAAUUAUUCUAAUGUUACCAGAAAUUAACUUGGCCCAGAAUAUUUUAAGAUGAAAGGAACCUGUGGUCAGAUAUGCAUGCCACAAGAUAAGGAAGCAAAGCAGUAAUAAGCACAAAUACUGAGGCAAAAAACCAUGUAAUCAGUACCAGCUCAUAAAUAAUUUCAUGCACAAAGAACGUCCCAAGUUGUUGGGCAACUUGGGAUGAGGUAUAAAAACCUGAGCAACCCAUGGUCCUUCCAACCAUUUCUCCUCCCUUCUUUGCCUUGGUCAAUAGGGUAAGUCUGAACUCAUUUAUUCUCUUUGUGUGCAUUGAACUCUUGCCUGGAUGAUGUUGUACCAUUGACAUACAUUCAGCUUAUUCUUCUCUCUGAGAGAGGAAGCUGAGAGGGGUUUUCAUAUGAAAGAGAGAGUUUUCUGUU
rnacentral:lncRNA from 1 species